rnacentral:misc_RNA from 1 species
GAACUGCGAUAAGUAAUGUGAAUUGCAGAAUUCAGUGAAUCAUCGAGUCUUUGAACGCACAUUGCGCCCCCUGGCAUUCCGGGGGGCAUGCCUGUCCGAGCGUCAUUGCUGCCCUUCAAGCCCGGCUUGUGUGUUGGGUCGUCGUCCCCUCCGAGGGACGGGCCCGAAAGGCAGCGGCGGCACCGCGUCCGGUCCUCGAGCGUAUGGGGCUUUGUCACCCGCUCGAUAAGGACCGGCCGGGCGCCAGCCGGCGUCUCCAACCUUUUUUUCUCAGGUUGACCUCGGAUCAGGUAGGGAUACCCGCUGAACUUAAGC